rnacentral:tRNA from 3 species
GCCCCUGUAGCUCAACGGAUAGAGUAAGUCCCUUCUAAGGACGAGAUGCAGGUUCGAUUCCUGCCAGGGGCACAA